UUACAUUUAAAUUUUGUUGUGAAAUUGCAUUCCUGACGAACGCACACACCUUUUUGGAAUAUUAGAUGUUACAACAGCUAAUAUGUUACCAAUUAUACUUAUUCACGCAACUGUUGUGAUGACAGUGACAGCUCAAAAAAACCUAACACCAUUUGGCAAUGCAAUGCAAAGUUCACAGUCUGGUACUGGUAAGGGUAUACCAGAAAAUGCUAUAAAUCCACCAAUAUCGAAUGAAUAUGAUCUGGAAAUAUGUUCACAAACAACAGAGUCAGGAUAUUCAACGGCAUGGUGGAUGUUCGAAUUUUCUUUAGGCACGGCAUACAUUGAAAAUAUCGAAAUUUACUACCGAGAAAACUAUGCAGUUCGGAUGAAUGGAUUUAAAUUAUAUGUGACCAAUACAUCAACUUUUCCACCUGACGGUUAUCUCUGUUAUGAAGAUUAUUAUUCUCCUGGAGGUCCUUAUCCAAACAUCCAUCAGACAAUUCCUUGUAAUCAACUUGGAAAAUAUGUCAUUUAUUACGAUGAUAUAGGAUCUGAUGAAGGAAAUAUCUACGGACCUAUUAUUGAGUUAUGUUACGUUGCCAUAAAUGGAUGCUUCAAAGGUACCUGGGGAACAAAUUGUUCAGAUGCAUGUCCACCAAAAUGUACAAACCAACAUUGUUAUCCUGCAAACGGUUCAUGUGUUUGGGGGUGUGAUCUGCAGAAUUGUUUAAAUAACAUCUGCGAUAAACAUACAGGUGCUUGCAGUGAAGGAUGUGUACCUGUAUUUGCCGGACAGUUCUGUAACAUUAGUAAGUAUUGUUAAUACAUGUUUGUGUUUUUGAUAAACCAGUUGCCUAGAACGACUAUUUUUUUCUCUCACAAAUAUGAUAAAUAUAGUAAAAACAUAUUACAUGCAGUUACUAAGGUUUAAACUCAGUAUGUAACAUUUGAUCAAGCUAUGGAAUCUGGUCUACUUACCAAUUAAACAACCAAUAUAUUUGCAAAUAGAUUUGACAUUAUCAAAACAUAGUAUUUAUACUAUUUUGAUAUUUUUUUUUAUCUAACUGUGUGUUGUACUUUACAUACUUAUACUUUAAGGUAAAAUAACUAAAUAUAUAUCUUAUAACCAUUCCAUUGUUAUUACCAUUUUCUAAAUUUAAUUUGCUUUAUUUGCUUUAUUUGGCUUGUUCUGUCUUUUAAUGCAUAUUAUAACUAACUUUAUCAGCUUUCAAUAUACAUGAUGUGAAUAUUCGCAAUGGUGUGGUUUAUGUUGUACAUCGAUUGUUUGUUUAUGUCCUGUGUGUGUUUUUUUGGUCGUCGUUACAACUUCAUCUUGCCUUAUGUCAUACUAUUUUUUGUACUCGACUUUUAAUAAAGAUUAUUUGACUUUUCCAUUCUUACUUGUAUUUCAACAAUUGUAAUGGACGACAUCAUUUUCAAUGGUGUUAAAAGCAGAUUUAAGUGUUAAAUGAAAUAUGAUAAUUUUAAUGUAGGAAUAACAACAUGAACGAAUAGAGGUAAAGUUUGUAUAAUAUAAAAUUGCAGAAAAUAAGCUUAAUGCCUUCAUUCAAGUUAUUCGCGUAAUGCCUAUGCGUAGGUUUUUGCAUAGGAUUUUAGCUUAAAGUAUAAUUUUGCUCAUUUUCUUAAACAUAUACAUUCAAAACAGAAAAUUCAUUCUAUUCUUUGUUAUGAUAUGUAUGUAUUGUAGAUACAUUUUUAUAUUUAUAACAAAAAGUUUGAAACAGACAAUUGCGUUAAAUGAGCUCUUAAAUAUACAUCAUGUUUGUAAACAAUUCUUUAUUUCACAGAAAUCAUUUCAUAAUGUUGAUAAAGUGAGAGUACCAAUUUUCUUACUUUUUUUUACUUAUCAUAAUAUGUAUCAUUAUCACUAACUUAGUUUUUGUCUUUUUUGCAAUACAAUACCUGCCAAUUUGUCCACGAUUACAUAGAUAACCUAGACUCCAAUGGAACAGUCACACAAUCGUAUCCUAAUAUGACAGAAAUCCUGCAAGACUGUAAACAGACGAAAAUGGGACAUCUGGUUUUUAUUCUAUAACAACUAGUUUACAGAGCAUCACAUGUUUGACUACAGGUUUUGGUGGUAAGAAAAAAAGUUAUUAUUGCAUUUGCUAACAUAGCAAAUAAAACAAAACCACUAGUGAAACGAUAUCAUGCUGACAAUGAAAAUCGAACGUUAAACAUAGGAUCAACAACGACCGAGGUCAUGAGACGAAAAACAAGCAAAGUCCUCAAAAUACAAUUGAAAACAUUUAUGACUGAGUGACACUAACACAAUAAAAGACAGAUGAUAAUCUCAGAUCGACUAAGACUAAAAGCUUUAAUGUUCAAAUAGAUGCACCCAGCGGUGUACUCGUAACAGUAUAAAUUGAGAUCGAGUGAUUGUUGUUUGUUAAAUUCUAGUUGCAAAUAUUCAUGCAUACAUGUAUUCAGGACGAUAGGUUCUACAAAAUGGUUAAAAAAAAAAUUAAGAUUACGACUGGAAACAAGGAUAUCUAGAAUAGGGACAGACAUCUACAAUGAAGCUUGCAACUAGCACCACCUACGUAACAAUCGUUUUCGUCAAAUUCUUUAGAUAUAAUUGUCAUUAGUAUUAUUGUUGUAAUUAUUAGUGUUACAUAACUUACAUACACAAAUGUAUGUAGCUAGAUGUACAGUUACCGUUAAGCUACUGAUUAUCCUUAGCUUAUUAUACUGUUAUACCUAAAAGUUACAUACGAUCCUGAGAUUCAGAAGUAAGAUGAGUAGACAACGUCUGCUAAAAGAUAAAAUAUGAUGGCAUAAAUCUCUUAGGAUGCAUAAUGAUGGACAUAUUCAUUAAAUUAUAAUUUAAUCUAUUUAAAUGAAUUCUUUUUUUUACCAGGGCAAACUGCAUCAAAGUAAAUAAAGGAAAACACAGUUUUUUUCUGUUUAAUAAGAUAAUGAUAGUCCUAUGAAAUAACUUAGUAAGUUGAAACAACUUUUGUUUCAUUUAUCUACACGAGUUUUGGAGCCACUAAUUGGUAAACCUGGCAUACUUUUUGAUGUUAUGGUUCCUGACCAUGCUGAACCAUGCAAAGCUUUUUUUUAGACAAGUGUAUCUUGAACGUUGCACCUGAACAACCAACAAAAUUAGCAUGAUUACGGAAGAUUUUGAAGAUAUCGAGGAGAGAAGGACCUACAAUUCGCCAGUAAACUCGAAGAAAUCAUCGAAUUGAUGGAUGAAUCAUCAAUUUAAAACACGAAUAUAUUGUAAAGACGCAUGAACUGUGAAUGAAAAACAACUUUCUUAUAUUAAUAACCAUGCAAAUGAUUAUGUAUCAUUUUGAAAUCCAUGAUCUCCUUAUUUAAAUUUGUCAUCAGGAACCAAAGGAGAAAGUUCAUUGUGAAACUUCCUUUCAACUGUUAAUUGACAAACACUUUAACAUCUUACAUGAAUAUCUUUUUUCGGCGAAAUAGGUGCUCUUUAUUAUUUCUUAACAUGAAUUAUUCACACAGUCAGGGUUAUUUUUAUGUUUCACACAUGAAAAAGUAUGUUAUGUUUAAAUCAUACAUAUUGAUCAAUCUAAGUCUCUGUAAAGCGGGAAACUCUUGUUGUUUCCCCAGUGGUUUAGUUUAUAAAUGUCUGCAAUUAGACAAAGUUUAACUAUAUGUUAACGCCAAUUUCUUCCAAAAUCGUAAAAUAUUGAUGAGUAUUCAUUUUAAAAAUUGUACCUCCUAAAAUAUCCUUAUCCUACAUAUACAUUAUAUAUAAGUUUUGCCAAAUACAGCUAAGGUGAUCUAUUCCUGAGGAAGAAAAGCCAAAAAGCAACUUUGUGUUGGAUCAAGCUAAUUUCUGGUUUGAUUUCUCAGGAGAGUAAAGAUAUUUAUUCCUCAGAAGAUUUUUUAACUGAUAUUUAUGACACUCAUUUGUAUCUUUAAUAUGUUUUUCCAUACAUUUAUAUAAUUUAAAUUUUCAGUUUAAAUGACAGUCUUAAAUUUACCUUUAUUUGUUUUUCUUAUACUAUUAUUCUGCUUACAAAUAUUCAAUGAACAAUCAUAUUACAGAGUAUAAAUUGAUUUGGAUUUGAAUGGUGUUAUGAGCGUCUUCAUGUGGAAAAGGUCUGAUUUCAAUAGAAAGAAAAGACUGCCUUACUCCAAACUAUUGGAAUACAAGUUUGAUGGUAACAUCAUUAUUUUCAUUGGAGAUGGUAAAACUCUACAAGUGCGAGUAAGCCUUGCGACGAUUUGAAAAAAAAAUGUUCACAUGCUUUAUAUUUAACUCAUACAUUUAACAAACAUUUUGAACUAUCUGAUUAAUAUUUUGGUUCCCUUGAGUAGGGCUUUAAGUUUAAUUGCAGCAAAAUUACUUUUUACAAUUUGGUAUAAUCAAAAUUUUCUUACAUAGUACAUAAGAAUCGGUAUGGUUUUUAACAUAUAAUCUAAUUAUAUGCAAUCAAACAUCGUUAUAACACAAUUUAUAUUUGCAAUGGGAUGUUCUUUAUCUGUACAUACAUAUAACAUGUUACUUUUAUUAUUCUUCCCUUAGUUAUUUGAUGUUAUUCAGGGUUAUAUCUGGUCUAUAUACCAGCUUUGAUAAGUGUUUGAUAUUACUAUAAAUUUUCACUUCGUACUAUGAACAUCAAAAUUAUUUAUUUUGUGAAAAUAUUUCCUUUCUCUAUUGGAACUGUACACGUAUACCUAAACACAAAAUUAUUUCCAUUUACCUGUGUUUAAAAUAAUUGCUAAUGGCUGAUAUUUUUGUUCGAGCACAUUGUUUUUCUUAAAUUGUUUAACUUUCAUACCGAUAUAACAUGUUACUUUUAUUAUUCUACCCUUAGUUUAUUUAUUUUGUAUUUACAUUGUGUCAUAGGUCAAAUUUAUUUGUUCAGUGUAUGUUCAAUGGUGUUAAUAUGUCCUUUGAUUGAGUUAAGCUAUUUCAGUUGAUAUUUUAUAGUGUGUCUUUCUAUGUUGUGACGUUACACUAUUGUUUCAGAAAAAGGGUGAAGGUUUGGUACCAUUAAAACGUUUAAACCCGCUGCAUUUGUUUGCACCUGUCCUAAGUCAGGAAUCUGAUGUUCAGUAGUUGUCGUUUGUUGAUGUGGUUCAUAAGUGUUUCUCGUUUCUCGUUUUUUUAUAUAGAUUAGACCGUUGGUUUUCCCGUUUGAAUGGUUUUACACUAGUAAUUUUUUGGGGCCCUUUAUAGCUUACUGUUCGGUGUGAGCCAAGGCUCCGUGUUGAAGACCGUACUGUGACCUAUAAUGGUUUACUUUUAUAAAUUUUGACUUGGAUGGAGAGUUGUCUCAUUGGCACUCAUACCACAUCUUCUUAUAUCUAUGUAUGAUUUUGAAUUAAAUGUUUUAUCAUUUGA